AAUGCGAUGAGAGGACGGAGAAAGUUAAGUCAGCCUGGCGUUGGUUGUCCAGGUGGAAGGUUGUAGGCAUGCAUCUUAGGCAAAUCCGGGGUGCUCUAUGCUGAGAACUGAUAGCAAGCGAGUUUACUCGUGAAGUGGCUGAUACUAUGCUUCCAGGAAAAGUCUCUAAGCUUCAGUUACACAGGAAUCGUACCCGAAACCGACACAGGUGGUCAGGUCGAGUAGACCAAAGCGCUUGAGAGAACUCUGCUGAAGGAACUAGGCAAAAUGGUACCGUAACUUCGGGAGAAGGUACGCUGCUGACGGUGAUAGGACUUGCUCCUUGAGCUAUUGGCAGCCACAGAAACCAGGCCCCUGCAACUGUUUAUUAAAAACAUAGCACUCUGCAAACACGAAAGUGGACGUAUAGGGUGUGAUGCCUGCCCGGUGCUGGAAGGUUAAUUGAUGGGGUUAGCGUAAGCGAAGCUCUUGAUCGAAGCCCCAGUAAACGGCGGCCGUAACUAUAACGGUCCUAAGGUAGCGAAAUUCCUUGUCGGGUAAGUUCCGACCUGCACGAAUGGCAUAAUGAUGGGGGCGCUGUCUCCAGCAGAGGCUCAGUGAAAUCGAAAUCGCCGUGAAGAUGCGGUGUACCCGCGGCUAGACGGAAAGACCCCGUGAACCUUUACUGCAGCUUGACAUUGAACUUUGAUCUUACUUGUGUAGGAUAGGUGGGAGGCUUAGAAGUAGCGACGCCAGUUGCUAUGGAGCCAUCCUUGAAAUACCACCCUGGUAAUAUUGAGGUUCUAACUCUGUCCCGUUAUCCGGGACGAGGACCAUGUCUGGUGGGUAGUUUGACUGGGGCGGUCUCCUCCUAAAGAGUAACGGAGGAGUACGAAGGUGCGCUCAGCGUGGUCGGAAAUCACGCGUAGAGUAUAAAGGCAAAAGCGCGCUUAACUGCGAGACCCACAAGUCGAGCAGGUACGAAAGUAGGUCUUAGUGAUCCGGUGGUUCUGUAUGGAAGGGCCAUCGCUCAACGGAUAAAAGGUACUCUGGGGAUAACAGGCUGAUACCGCCCAAGAGUUCAUAUCGACGGCGGUGUUUGGCACCUCGAUGUCGGCUCAUCUCAUCCUGGGGCUGAAGCAGGUCCCAAGGGUAUGGCUGUUCGCCAUUUAAAGAGGUACGCGAGCUGGGUUUAGAACGUCGUGAGACAGUUCGGUCCCUAUCUACCGUGGGCGUUGGAAAUUUGAGAGGAUCUGCUCCUAGUACGAGAGGACCAGAGUGGACGAACCUCUGGUGUACCGGUUGUGACGCCAGUCGCAUCGCCGGGUAGCUAUGUUCGGAAGGGAUAACCGCUGAAAGCAUCUAAGCGGGAAGCCUACCUCAAGAUAAGAUUUCCCUAGGACUUUAUGUCCUCUAAAGAGCCGUUGAAGACUACGACGUUGAUAGGUUGGAUGUGGAAGUGCGGUGACGCAUGAAGCUGACCAAUACUAAUUGCUCGUGAGGCUUGACU
rnacentral:rRNA from 1 species